UACAGAGGUCUCAAGCGUUGUUCGGAUUCAUUGGGCGUAAAGGGUGCGUAGGCGGCGCGGUAAGUCGGGUGUGAAAUCGCCCGGCUCAACUGGGCGGGGUCGGCGGAUACGGCCGAGCUGGAGCAAGCUAGGGGGUAAUGGAAUUCCCGGUGUAGUGGUGGAAUGCGUAGAUAUCGGGAGGAACACCAGUGGCGAAGGCGGUUACCUGGAGCUUUGCUGACGCUGAUGCGCGAAAGCGUGGGGAGCGAUCCGG
rnacentral:rRNA from 1 species